ACACUUGCCUGGCAGAGGAGAUACCAUGAUCACGAAGGUGAUUCACCCAGGGUGAGGCCCAGCCAUUGCACUGCGGCUGUGCUGACCACUGCGGAUUCCCCAAAUGUGGGAAUCUCGACUGCAUAAUUUCUGGUAGUGGGGGACUGCGUUCGUGCUCUCCCCUG
ensembl:snRNA U1 U1 spliceosomal RNA